CGACCGGCGCACGGGUGAGUAACACGUAUCCAACCUGCCGUCUACUCUUGGACAGCCUUCUGAAAGGAAGAUUAAUACAAGAUGGCAUCAUGAGUCCGCAUGUUCACAUGAUUAAAGGUAUUCCGGUAGACGAUGGGGAUGCGUUCCAUUAGAUAGUAGGCGGGGUAACGGCCCACCUAGUCUUCGAUGGAUAGGGGUUCUGAGAGGAAGGUCCCCCACAUUGGAACUGAGACACGGUCCAAACCCCUACGGAAGGCAGCAG
rnacentral:rRNA from 1 species